rnacentral:lncRNA from 1 species
CCACAUACAUGAGAUAUUUCUCAAGCUCUACAUUAUUCUAGACUCUAGAUAUUUUACUUAUAUAGAUAUUUUUCCAAACAUGUUCUCUAAUAUUCUAGAGAACUCCAUAAUUUGAUAUUAUACUCAUAUAUCUAGAGACUUCUAGCUAAUACAAUUUACAAAUUACAUAUUAUACUUUAACACUAAACAGGUCAAAUCUGCACGGCGAAGUAGAUCUCUUCAUUAACAUCCUCCUAUGACUCAUUGAAAUCCCUCCCUCUUACAUGGCUUUCUUUCACCAUCCUUAAAUGUAUACCCAAUUAUCGUAGUGUAUAGAACGGGGAAAUAUUCACUUCUAAUCCUCUAUCAACAAGCACUCGAGACACUAGUUUAUCCCCGCACUCAAGACACCACUUCCUUUGUUAUGAUCCAUACCCUCUACCGAAAGUUCAUCCCUUCCAAAAGAAAUCAUGUUUUCUUGAACCAUCUUCCCAAUGGUUGAUGCUAAGGACGCACUGGUAGUAUUUCUUCGCACACUUACUCCACUUAAUCAAUGUAGUCUUUCGUUGUGGAACUCUUGCAUCUUCGGCAUUUCCAGUUGUGACUAUGGUCCCCUUCAGAUCAUAAUCCUCAUCCAACGCAAUCGUGUUAGGUCCUUCGAAUUUUAUAGUUCGACAGUGGAUUGUGAUUCAUAUUCGGUUGAGACGUGGUGCCUUGAAUGGAACCACUCUUAGUCAGUAGCUCAAUUUAAUUCUUUAGUCCGAAGCAAUCCUUAGUAUCAUGCCCAGGAAUAACCGAAUGGUACUCACAAUGUUUAGUUGCAUCAAAAUAUUUAGAGGGUUCGUCGGGAAUUCUUCCUUCCACUGGGUAUGUUAAAUCGGCUCUCUCCAAUCUUUCAAACAACUAGUCUAAGGGUUUAGAAAUUUGAGUGUAGUUUCUGGAAUAUCUUUCUUCAAAUUUUGGGCGUGGUAAAGAUGCAUUGGCGGAUUGAUUUUGAGUGGUUAUUUGUAUUGGAGCCUCUGGCCGUGGUGGGAUUAGAAAU